GAUGAACGCUGGCGGCGUGCUUAACACAUGCAAGUCGAACGGAAAGGCCAGUGCUUGCACUGGUACUCGAGUGGCGAACGGGUGAGUAACACGUGGGUGAUCUGCCCUGUACUUCGGGAUAAGCUUGGGAAACUGGGUCUAAUACCGGAUAGGACAACUUUUUGGAUAUUGUUGUGGAAAGCUUUUGCGGUAUGGGAUGAGCUCGCGGCCUAUCAGCUUGUUGGUGGGGUAAUGGCCUACCAAGGCGUCGACGGGUAGCCGGCCUGAGAGGGUGUACGGCCACAGUGGGACUGAGAUACGGCCCAGACUCCUACGGGAGGCAGCAGUGGGGAAUAUUGCACAAUGGGCGCAAGCCUGAUGCAGCGACGCCGCGUGGGGGAUGAAGGCCUUCGGGUUGUAAACUCCUUUCGCUAGGGACGAAGCUUUUUUGUGACGGUACCUGGAGAAGAAGCACCGGCUAACUACGUG
rnacentral:rRNA from 1 species